GUACACUGGGCUCUCAACGUGGUGUGGAAGGUAGCCUGUUACAGUGCUGGAUUCAUAAAAGGGCCUUUAUGGUUUGUGAAAGAAUAUCUGUGUGCUUAGGGAGGAAACUUUUUGAUCUGCAGAAAAGCCAGAAGACAUCUAGGUAAGGCUACGAUAUCAAAUCUACUUUUUUGGGGGAAAGUUGGGCAGUGAGACUGCUUAAUCGCAACCAAUGACAUCCAUAAAAAUUCAUCAGAGAGCAUUUUACUACUGAGCUGCAAAGGUGUCUGAUGAUUUGUGAGCCUCAAGUGACUACUCUGUGGAAUCAUCUGUCCUUGCCUUUGAAUUAGCUUUCCCUAGGCCAUGAGUCAACAUUAGUAGUUUAUACAUCCAAAUUGAUGACAAGAGCACCUCAAAGGCAGCAGCCUCAAGGAGCAGCCAUGGCCCCAGACUUGUCGCACGGAUGCAGAAAACUUAAUGGAGGAGGCUGAGCAAAACAGAGCGUGACACUCCCAAUCAUCUGCAUGCUGGAAAUGAGGAAAUGGUUAUUGAAUGAUACAAGUGCUUUUCGAUCAUUUAGAAAGUUCUGUUUCCCAAGAUCUUUUUUUUUUUUUUUUUU
rnacentral:lncRNA from 10 species